UCCCUGGCGGUCUAGUGGCUAAGACUCUGCAUUGCUAAUGCAGGGAGCUUGGGUUCAAUCCCUGGUCAGGAAC
rnacentral:tRNA from 1 species